rnacentral:lncRNA from 1 species
UUAACAAAAUCGAAAAGGGCUUUAAGGGGUCAUUAAGCCAAUCGAUUAUGACGUUAACAAUUGUUUGUCCCCAUUAAAGCGCACUAAAGAUUCAACAGAAUAGCAUUGGUUUCUUCUGCGCUUUCAAAGUUCUCUAUUUUCUUUUCUUUAUAUAUUCUGCUUUUUCAUAAUUCUAUGAUUUAAUUUUUUUUUUUGGAUGCAGAGAAGUACAAAUUAAAGAGAUGCAAACCAAUAUGAAUGAUUGACAAUUUAGAGGCAAGUCAUAAAGGGAUCGAUUUAACACAAGGCUAUUGAUUAUGAUGUCUAAAAACGUUAUUUCUCUUGGAUUUAACAAACUCUAUGAAGGGGUUAUUUUUUCUUUUCUGAUAAGUAAAUAGACUAUGUUAACGUAUUAAGAAAGUUUAUGAAGAAUCGGUAGUAUGGAGAAAAGGCCUAUUAAAUAUUUUUUCCCCCGAAAGAUUGUUGUGCUUCUCGGACUAUAUCUUUUGAUUUUAAUUUUUUGUUUAUAACGAAAAAAUAUGGGUGCAGCUUUCAUUGA